rnacentral:misc_RNA from 1 species
GUGAAUCAUCAAAUUUUUGAACGCAAAUUGCCCCUUUUUCGGAAGGCAUGUCUGUUUGAGGGCACCAUUUAACAAAUAAUGUGCAGCGUUGUGUGUAUAUAUGACGUGCACACGUUGAUGAGCUUUCCAAGAAUUUUAAAUUGUUGGUUACGCAUAAUGAACAGCGUGAAGCUUUUUUGUCAGUUCGAGUGUAGUAAAAUCUUUGCUGGGGUUGUGGAGAGCGUAAUCGCGCAAUGGGGGUGGCACUUUUUUAUUAUCACUGCCCCAAUUCCACUCUUUCUCACGAAAGUAUUCAUAGU